AAAAAAGUACUAAAAAAACUU
rnacentral:rRNA from 1 species